UUUCUGUGAUGUCCGUUGUUACUUCUCCUUUUUUAUUUCUAAUUUUAUUGAUGGAGUCCUCUCUUUUUUGCUUGAUAAGUCUGGCUAAGGGUUUAUCAAUGUUGUUGAUCUUUUCAAAGAACCAACUUUUUGUUUCAUUGAUCUUUUCUAUGGUUUUCAUUGUUUCUAUUUCACUGAUUUCUGCUCUGAUCUUUAUGAUUUCUUUCCUUCUACUAACUUUAGGUCUUGUCUGUUCUCUCUCUCUCGAGCUGCUUUAGAUGUAAAGUUAGCUUGUUUAUUUGGGCUUUUUCUUGUUUCCUGAGGUGGGCUUGUAUUGCUCUAAACUCUCCUCUUAGAACAGCUUUUGCUGCAUCCCAUAGGUUUUGGAGUGUCAUAUCUUUGUUGUCAUUGGCUUCUAGGUAUUUUUUAAUUUCCUCUUUGAUUUCUUCAGUGAUCCAUUGGUUGUUUAGUAGCAUGUUGUUGAGUCUCCACGUGUUUGUGUUUUUUGCAGUUUUUUUCUUGUUGAAUUCCAGUCAUAUAGUGUUGAGAUCAGAAAAGAUGCUCGAUAUGAUUUCAAUUUUUUUAAAGUUACCGAGGUUUGAUUUGUAGCCCAGGAUAUGAUCAGUCUAAGAGAAUGUUCCAUGUGCACUUGAGAAGAAUGUGUAUUCUGUUGCUUUUGGAUGGAAUGUCCUAUAAAUAUCUAUUAAGUCCAUCUGGUUUAGUGCUUCAUUCAGGGCCUGUGUUUCCUUAUUGAUUUUCUGAUGGAUGAUCUGUCCUUUGCUGUAAUUGUAGCUGCUGUGCACAAGCCCCACUGGCCUUCAAUGCCAGCUGCUCUGGUGGCUCUUUCUCCCAGUGCUAGAUCCCCUCGGGAGUUUGAUGUGGAGCUCAGAACCCUCACUCCUAUUAGUGAGUCUCUGUGAAAUGGUUACUUUCCAGUCCGUAGGGUUUCCCACCCAGGAGGUGGGGGGUUGCUUAUAUGGCAUAAUUGCCCCUCCUACCUCUUGAUGUGGCCUCCUCUUUUUCUUCUGGAAUAGGAUAUCUUUUUGAAAGUUUCCAGUUCAUUUGGUUGAAGAUUGCUCAGCAUUCGGUUGUAAAUUUUGUUGUUUUUAGGGAGAAGUUGAGCUUCAAUCCUUCUAUUCCACCAUCUUAAUCGCGUCUCUCAAGUCAGCUAUCAUUAAAAAGCUUCAAUAAGCAGUUUUGAACAAAUAAAUUUAAUUAUUCUAUGCCUAUGUGUAAAUCUUUUAGCGUUUAUUCUAUUUGGAGUUUGUUAAGCUUCUUGGAUUUAUAGAUUUUUUUAAAUAAAAUUUAAUGAGUGUUUAGUCAUUAUUUCUUUAAUAGUUUUUUUCUGUACCUUUUUUUUUUCUCUUGCUAGAGUUCUUAUUACACAAAGAUUGGUAUACUUAAUGGGAUCCCAAAUCUCUUUGAGGCUCUGUUCAUUUUCAUUUAUUCUUUCUUCUUUCAGCUCCUUAGACUGAAUAAUCUCACUUGACCUAUCUUUUUUUUUUUUUUUUGGUCUUUUUGCCAUUUCUUGGGCUGCUCCCGCAGCAUAUGGAGGUUCCCAGGCCAGGGGUCAAAUCGGAGCCACAGCCACCGGCCUACACCAGAGCCACAGCAAUGCAGGAUCCAAGCUGCGUCUGCAACCUACACCACAGCUCACAGCAACACUGGAUCCUUAACCCACUGAGCAAGGCCAGGGAUCGAACCUGCAACCUAUGGUUCCUAGUCAGAUUCCUUAACCACUGUGCCACGAUGGGAACUCCUCACUUGACCUAUCUUUAAAUUCAAUAAUUCUUUCUGCUUCCAGUUCAAAUCCAUUAUUAAAUUUUUCUAGUGAGUUAUUAAUUGUAGUGAGAAUUUCCAUUCAUUAUUAUUUAUAAUUUGUCUCCUUAUUGAGUUCUCAACUUUUUGAGACAUUGUCAUAAUUUCCUUCAAUCCUUUAGAUGUGGUUUGCUUGGAUAUAUUCUUUGGAUAUAUUUGUAAUAGCUGAUUGAAAAUUUCUAUCUAUUAGUUCCAACAACUAGGUCAUAUCAGGAGACUUUCUGUUGCUGAUUGUUUACCGGUUUAUUUACACAUCCCAUAAAUUUUUGUUUUAAACUCAACUUGUAGGUAAUAUUUUGUAAUGAGUCUAGUAUCAGACCCUUUAUUAGUCCCUAAAUUUCUUAUUGGUGCAAGGUUUCUGUUAUUAUUGUUAUUGUUUCUCUCAUUAAUGCUUAUUUAUCUAGAUACUUUUCUGGGCUAAUUAUCCAGAUUCUAUAGUCCCUGGACUGUGUGGCCACUGAGUUCUCAUCUCACUUUUUAAAAGUUUUUGGGAGUUCCUAUCAUGGCUCAGCAGUUAACAAAUACAACUAGCAUCCAUGAGGAUGUGAGGGUUUGAUUCUUGGCCUCGCUCAGUGGGUUAAGGAUCUGGCGUUGCCAUGAGCUGUGGUGUAGAUCACGUAUGUGGCUUGGAUCUAUUAUUGCUGUGGCCAUGGAGUAGGCCAGUGGCUACAGCUCCGAUUGGACCCCUAGCCUGGGAACUUCCAUAUGCCAUGGGUGUGGUCCUAUUAGAUUCCUUGGGGCAUCUUCUGGUUAGUAUAAUUUAUUGGUCAGUCAAAGAUAUACAAGAUUUCCUUAAAUUCCUUAUUUGUAUGUGUUCCACUCUUUGCCAAGGGUAUCUAUGUGAGAAGGCUUAUCUUCAAACUUCAAGUAGCUUACAAGGCUGCCUCAGCUUUCACAUCCUCGUUGUGCAGUGUCUCAAUGUCGAGUGACUGUUUUUUCUCCUUUUCCAGGUCUCUAAUGAGCAUGCAGAUAGUAUUGUACCUAUAACCACCUUUUUAGAUACCCAGGAAUAUAUGGCAUUUUUAAUAGUUCUUAUUAGUAUCUUCUUUUCCAGAACUUCCUUUAAAAGUUCUUUUGAACCUUUAGGCUUUUGUAGGCCUCAACCAAAUGAUGGACUUCAGCAGCUGCAAUAUUUCUAAAAGAUUAUUCUAGUUUUGGAAAUAUGCUGAGGAUAGGACAUAUUCUCCUUUACUUCCCUCUCCUUUUUGAUCUAAGCUCUGACUUUAACCAAAUAAUCUCAAAAGCCUAGACAUAGAGAUUUUCCAUAAAGUUGAACAUUUGGAGAAAAAAUUUAAUUGUGCCUUUGAGGAUGUUCUAAAUGAAGCUCCAUAGAUCAAUCCUCUCCAUUGGCUGUGAGACUGUCAAUGACUAUCAUGGCACUGAGCUGGGGAGAGGGAAUGGGGAGGAUGGGAGUUAAAACCUUCCAAAUACCAUUAUCUUACCCAAGGGUAGUGGUUUCUGUUGGAUAGGCAGUUUUCAGUUUGUUCCGAGCCUUGGUUAAUGUUCAGAGUUCAAAAAUAGUUGAAUUUAAAUAGCUGGCUGGUAUUUUGCGAUUUUGUUCCUGGGUGAGCCGUUUGCCAAAGUCCUCAGUCUAGUGCUUAGGAAACGUGGAUUCCACUGUGUUUUGUGGUUGGACGGGGUCAGUAAUUCUCCUGCAAUACUUUCCCAAGCUGCUUUGGUUCUGGUUUCUGACCAUUUGUGAUCUUGAUAAAAAUGCUCUGCCACUACCAUUGAAAAGAUUGAUGUUUUCCUAAUUAAUAGGGAAAGUGCAUUUCCUCUGUUGGGUUUAAUUUUAUGAUAUCUUUGGCCUUUCAUAUUACCUGUUGUUUAAUAUCAACUGGCAUCUGAUUCAGCACAGAUUAUAUAUUAGGGUUACUCCUGAUCUUUACUCUAGGAACGAUUCAUGUUCUCAUUCAAAGAAUAUUUUUAGAGGUAAAUGAGCAGAGUCUGUGAAAUAGAAUUCAUUACUUUAUACCCUCAAGCACAUAUCUUAAUAAAUUUGUAUUUGGUGGGAGUUCAAUUCUUGAAGAACUAUAUGGAGAAACAGAAAUAGGCAACUAUAGUUCAUUGUAGUAGUAGAAUCAAGAGAUAGUUUUAGGCUGAAUGAAGGAUGCAGACAAAAUACAGUGGAACAUAGCUUGAAUUCAAGGCAUUACAGCAGGUAUGAUUUUUUUUAAAAAAUAGCAAUAAUUCUAUGCAUUCAUAACAUAUCGAUCUAGGUUAGUGGCUAUUAAAACCCCAGGUUGCUGAAAGAUCCCUAUGGUGUCCAGGGUGGGCUUUCCAGGGCAUGGUCUGGAAGGAUCCUAUGCUCACCAAACUACUGAGAACCCAUAUGACAAUAAUGUUGCUUAAGAGAUAUGGAAACCAUCUGAAAUGAAGCACAGGAGGAUGAGCAGAAAUGUGGAAAAAGAACCAGAAAGCAGACCAAGAAGCUUGACAACCUCCAACAAUUACUUCCAUCUUUAUUUAUACAAUUCUUUUUUUAUAAUGAUUUUUAUUUUUUCCAUUAUAGCUGAUUUACAGUGGUCCGUUCUAUUGGACCCUUUAUGAAAAAACAUUUUGGCCUCCAUUUGUGCCUUCUGCUUGGUUCUUUCAUUUAAUUAACGAACUAAACAAACAAAAACUUUUUUUUAAUGGCUGCACCUGCAGCAUAUGGAUGUUCUUGGGCCAAGGGUCAAAUCAGAGCUACAGCUGCUGGCCUACACCACAGCUGCAGCAACAGCAGAUCUGAGCAGCAUCUGCAACCUAUGCCACAGCUUGUGGCAAGGCCAGAUCCUUAUCCUACUGAGCAAGGCCCGAGAUCGAACCCACAUCCUCACGGAUACUACGUUGGGUUCUUGGUGUGCUGAGCCAUAAUUGGGAACUCCUUAAACAGAAUUGUUAAGGCAUGUUUAUUUUAUAUGGUUAUGAGAGUCAGGAUUUUCUCCUUUUGGGAAAAUGAUCUUUAAUAACUACCAGGAGGAGUGAUGUCACCAAGAUGGAUACAGAGGUCAUUCCUGACUUUACUCCCUCUUUGCAAGAAGAUCAGCUAACAACGAUUCAUGAGCAAGAUAUGACUGAGGGAAUCCUAGAACCUGGGAAUGCAGCUGAAGCACCCCCUGCCCUGCAACACAGAGAUCAGGGCAGACCAUGUUAGAAAGUUAAGAGGGGAGUUCCCUUCAUGGCACAGUGGUUAACGAACCUGACUAGGAACCAUGAGGUUGCAGGUUCGAUCCCUGGCCUUGCUCAGGGGGUUAAGGAUCUGGCAUUGCAAGACAAAAAAAAAAAAAAAAAAAAAAAAA
rnacentral:lncRNA from 1 species